GAUGAACGCUAGCGGCAGGCCUAAUACAUGCAAGUCGAACGGUCCACUUCGGUGGAUAGUGGCGCACGGGUGCGUAACACGUAUGCAACCUACCUUACAUUGGGGGAUAGCCUUUCGAAAGGGAGAUUAAUACCGCAUAAGACAGUAACAUGGCAUCAUGUAGCUGUUAAAGAUUUAUCGAUGUAAGCUGGGCAUGCGUCCAAUUAGUUAGUUGGUGAGGUAAAGGCUCACCAAGACGAUGAUUGGUAGGGGAACUGAGAGGUCAAUCCCCCACACUGGCACUGAGAUACGGGCCAGACUCCUACGGGAGGCAGCAGUAGGGAAUAUUGGGCAAUGGACGCAAGGCUGACCCAGCCAUGCCGCGUGCAGGAAGAAGGCGUUCUGCGUUGUAAACUGCUUUUAUAUAGGAAGAAACGACCCUUGCGAGGGGCAUUGACGGUAUUAUAUGAAUAAGCACCGGCUAACUCCGUGCCAGCCGCCGCCGUAAGAC
rnacentral:rRNA from 1 species